rnacentral:rRNA from 1 species
GAUGAACGCUGGCGGCGUGCCUAAUACAUGCAAGUCGAGCGAACGGACGAGAAGCUUGCUUCUCUGAUGUUAGCGGCGGACGGGUGAGUAACACGUGGAUAACCUACAUAUAAGACUGGGAUAACUUCGGGAAACCGGAGCUAAUACCGGAUAAUAUUUUGAACCGCAUGGUUCAACAGUGAAAGACGGUCUUGCUGUCACUUAUAGAUGGAUCCGCGCUGCAUUAGCUAGUUGGUAAGGUAACGGCUUACCAAGGCAACGAUGCAUAGCCGACCUGAGAGGGUGGUCGGCCACACUGGAACGGAGACACGGUCCAGACUCCUACGGGAGGCAGCAGUAGGGAAUCUUCCGCAAUGGGCGGAAGCCUGACGGAGCAACGCCGCGUGAGUGAUGAAGGUCUUCGGAUCGUAAAACUCUGUUAUUAGUGAAGAACAUAUGUGUAAGUAACUGUGCACAGCUUGACGGUACCUAAUCAGAAAGCCACGGCUAACUACGUG